rnacentral:lncRNA from 1 species
CGACUGUACAACCAUCAAGAUUAAUUGUCAGAUUCAACAGAAGAUCUCUUUGUUUCUUGGGACCUAGAACAAGCAUCUCUGUUUUGUCCUAGGUUAAAAGUAGAAAAUUUGUCAGUCAUCAUUCAGGUAGGUCCUAGCCAGUCAUCAUUCAGAUAAGUCCUCCUAGCCAGUCAUCAUUCAGGUAGGUCCUCCUAGUCAGUCAUCAUUCAGGUAGGUCCUCCAAGUCAGUCAUCAAUUUGGUAGUUCCUCAUAGUCAGUCAUCAUUCAGAUAGGUCUUAGCCAGUCAUCAUUCAGGUAAGUCCUCCUAGCCAGUCAUCAGGUAGGUCCUCCAAGUCAGUCAUCAUUCAACCAGUAAUCAUUCAGGUAGGUCCUCCUAGUCAGUCAUCAUUCAGGUAGGUCCUCCUAGUCAAUCAUUUAGGUAGGUCCUCCUAGUCAGUCAUCAUUUUGGUAGUUCCCUUUUAGUCAGUCAUCAUUCAGGUAGGUCCUAUCCAAUCAUCAUUCAGGUAGGUCCUCCUAGUCAGUCAUCAUUCAGGUAGGUCCUCCUAGUCAGUCAUCAUUCAGGUAGGUCCUAUCCAGUCAUCAUUCAACCAGUCAUCAUUCAGGUAGGUCCUCCUAGUCAGUCAUCAUUCAGGUAUGUCCUCCUAGUCAGUCAUCAUUCAGGUAGGUCCUCCUAGUCAAUCAUUUAGGUAGGUCCUCCUAGUCAGUCAUCAUUUUGGUAGUUCCCUUUUAGUCAGUC